rnacentral:rRNA from 1 species
UACGGGAAGGCAGCAGGUGGGGAAUAUUGCACAAUGGGCGCAAGCCUGAUGCAGCCAUGCCGCGUGUAUGAAGAAGGCCUUCGGGUUGUAAAGUACUUUCAGUCGUGAGGAAGGUGUUAAGGUUAAUAACCUUAGCAAUUGACGUUAGCGACAGAAGAAGCACCGGCUAACUCCGUGCCAGCAGCCGCGGUAAUACGGAGGGUGCGAGCGUUAAUCGGAAUUACUGGGCGUAAAGGGCACGCAGGCGGUUAAUUAAGUUGGAUGUGAAAUCCCCGGGCUUAACCUGGGAAUGGCAUUCAAGACUGGUUAGCUAGAGUCUUGUAGAGGGGGUAGAAUUCCAUGUGUAGCGGUGAAAUGCGUAGAGAUGUGGAGGAAUACCGGUGGCGAAGGCGGCCCCCUGGGCAAAAGACUGACGCUCAUGUGCGAAAGCGUGGGGAGCAAACAGGAUUAGAUACC